UCUUACAUUGUCUUCAGAAUGUGACUCCUCUUUUCCUUCUUCGUCCAGCCAACCCUUUAGGUCUGUUUCUCUCACACCCUGAAGUGUCCCCUCUACCUCCUCCCCUGCAUUUGCUGCUUCUCCUUUCUUCCUGUUUUCUCCUCAGAUUCUGACCCCGGCUGGGACAGGGCCCUCUCAGCAGCACUCUGGACACAGACAUUGCUGCAGCCUGAAGAAGCUGCAAGCCCAGCAGGAGGUGGAACUAAAGCCUAACUUGGUCAGAGGGCUGAGUUGCAAGAAGAGGAGGGACCACCGCAGGACUGGAGCAGCUGUCUGCUGAGGGUGCUAGAGAAGAGCUGCUAUGCUAUGCCGUGCCACAAGGGGGCAUGCUAGUGGGCCAGGAAACUCUUCUGAUUGAAAAACUCCCGCCCAUCACACCAGUCCAGCUUGCGCCGUGACUGGUGGCGCUGUGCUGGCAGCAAAUGUGGGGCUGCAGGAGGAAAGACUGCUUUGUGUCAUUCAGAAUUUCUCCUCGAUGUCUGCCCAAGCUCCGGAUGGUUUAGCUCUACCUUAGUCUAAUCAGGCAAGAUUUAUUUUAAUCUCUUGAGCUUUUGCAUCAGAACAACCUCAUGGCUAAAGAGUUACGUAUGCAAAGCCAAGAUCUUUCCCCUUCCCUGUCACAGCCUGCGAAGUCACCAAUGUGCUAUGGCAAAAUGAGCUGUAAGAAAUGUGACUUAGAAAAAACAUUCUUUUUCCAUGUACUGAAAAUUUAAAGCUACCUCCCCUUUCUUUCACCUUGGGAAAGUAGGAUGCUGUCCAAAGAGUGUUGUUGGCAACAAAGAUCCAACCUUCCUUCUCGGCAGCUGUAUCAUAUUGCAUAAAGGCCAGACCCAACGAGAAAGAGAAAGAGGUCUUCCCCACCAGACAGAAGCUUGUCCAUGGCUCUUGGCAGAUUGACAGUUCUGCAGUUUGUGGUCCAGGGGCAUCUUUUCUAUUGGGGCAGAAGACCUG